GCGUCGGUGGUGCAACGGUUUAUCACAUGCUCCCGGAAAGCGUAAGAUCUUCGUUCAAAUCCCGGCUGACGCA